UGUGCCGACACCGUCAGUGCAGACAGGAAACGUCUCCAUCUAAGACAGAAAUGAAGAAAGAGAAUUGAGCUGGUGUUGGAUGGGACGCUCAUUGUUGAGAAGAAAUCAAACCUUUUGGUCAUUCAAAUAGGAAGAGAAACUGGACUCUUGAUUUGCUGACCUCUUCCGUGCCACAGUUACACCUAUUUUACCUAGAGGGCGGAGAGAAGACCUCUAUCAUCUAGACAGGCACACAAGGUAAAGUACAGGUGCACGUAAAUGCACAAAUGAUUAUACUCACAGCAGUCGUGGCC